CAGAAUAUAUGACCCAUGCUCCUUUAGGCUCUUUAAAUUCCGUGGGUGGCGUAGCUACCGAGAUCAAUGCAGUUAAUUAUGUCUCUCCUAGAAGUUGGUUAUCGACUUCUCAUUUUGUUCUAGGAUUCUUCUUUUUUGUGGGCCAUUUGUGGCAUGCAGGAAGAGCCCGAGCUGCUACAGCAGGUUUUGAAAAGGGAAUCGAUCGUGAUUUAGAACCUGUUCUUUACAUGAACCCUCUUAACUAAGAUUUUCGAUAUGACCUGAAGAUGAAUAUGCCCUAAAUUAGAAACUCCAUGCAACUAUUCAUCUCCUCGGGUCGCCAAUGGUCUUACAUUUUUUUUUAAAUUUGAACUUCAAGCCCAAAUUGUGAAAAGCACUGAAGACAAGUAUACAAUAAAACUAAAGACGACACAUUAAUUGUUAGAGGAAAGAGCAAAUGAUAGCUUUGAUGUUCAUGUUCCUUCUAUUUCCAAUGCGAUCAUUGAAGCCUCGACUUCAGAGAAAUUGUUUCUCUGUUCGACAGUUCACUUGGGCCAAUUUGGGGCUUUAAUUUUUUUGGGAGUUACUUCCUCGCUACAAACUUCAAAACCCAGCAAGGUGGGGGCUCAACGGCCAAAGUGGCCUCCUGGCGGUGCGUCCAGCCUCCUAGCAUCUCGGUGGUAGCACGGUGUGAAAGUGAGGUCUAAGGUCAUCGAGGUCCUCGUGCUCUGCUAUGCUUUUCUUUCUAUAUCUCUCGGUCUCAUGGUUCACUUUUGUUGACGCUUUUGAUCAACUCAUUGUCUACUUGUUACCAAAACAAGUAUGAUUUUGCUAUAUGUAAGUUUCCUGAUUUUUUAGUUAGAGAUAAGUUGAUUUCUCAGCCAUUUGAUAUGAUUUGUGAUCUAAGAUUGGAAAUGGAUGAGAGAUGAAAAAAGACGGAUAAAAUAAGAUCUAAAUACUAAUCUAACGGAUAUGCUUCGUCAACUUAGAUUUUAGAUUUUUCUUUCCACCUGGGGUUUCCCCCCUUUCCAUUAUUACUAACGGAAAUAUAAAGUCUGAUACACAUGCACGGACAGGGGUGGGGGAACAAAAGAAGAAACCUAACCAUGGGCAGGAAAACCGCUGACCAGCUUCUGCAAUCAGAAGCUGACUACGGGACAAAAACCUGCCCCUACACCCCCAAGCCCUAGACAAAGUCUUAACACCAAGUUCCAGCCUAAAAAGAUUACAAAACAACAACCAAGACAGCCACCUCGAACAUUAAAGCAAAAGCAAAGAGCAAUCCUCCAGAACAAGCAUCCUCAGAGAGUGAUUGUCAGACGUGCCACAUCCACUGCUUCAUCAGUUGGCACCGAUGCAUCUUCAUGAAGACUUCGCAUGAGCUCCUUCACAUUGGCAAUCAGCUGCUGAGCACCCUCCUUCAAGAGCUCCUUGUCACCAUCCCUCUGCAAACCUGACCAAGACAACACAGAAGCACACGCAGUGAAAAUAAUCUCAAAAGGGGACCAAAGAUUAUACUUCUGGAAAGUCACACGAUUCCUGCACUUCCAUAUAGCCCAGGUUAUAGCAGCUAAACCAACCACAAAAAAUUUGUCACCAUAGGGUAGAAAAGAGUGCAUCCACACAAAGUAUUGCCAGACAUAAUUUGGGAUAGUGGAAGUUCCAAAAAGGGAACCCACGGUCCCCCAAACCAGUUUAGACACAGGGCAGAGGAAGAACAAAUGCUUAGCAUUCUCAGGCUGAACACAGAAAGAGCAUAGAGGAGAGCCUGUCCAAUUUUUCUUACACAAACAAUCCCUUGUAAGCACAGCAUACUAGAACGGCAAUCACAAAAAGAUCUGAAUUUUAAGAGGAUUUUUUGCCUUCCAAUCCACUUGUUAUGUGCCCCAUGAAGGAACCUUUCCUGCCAAGUAUAAAGAGAUUUAAGAGUGAAAGUAGAUUUAUUAUGAACCCAACUAACAUGAUCUAGCUCGUUAGAUAAAAGCAAGGCCCCCACUUUAUCCCUAAUCAUUCUCCAUUGUACCAGCAAGUUAGGAUUAAGUUGUCUUCUGAAAUGUAACAUAAACCCAGCAUCAACAAACUCCUUAAUAGUAAUAUCAGGGGAUAAGCAGAUCUCAAAAAGUUCAGGAAAUUGGGAAGAUAAUAAACCAUUGGCCUCAUCCCAAUCAUCAUUCCAUAAUCUCAUUAGGUUCCCACAACUCAAAUGGAGCUUCCUACCAGCAAGAUAAUAUUCUCUCACUUUUAGCAAAGUUUUCCAACAAGUUGAAUCAGUUUGUUUAAGCUUCACAGUAGAUAAAGUAGCAUGAGAUAGAUAUUCUGUUUAACAAUAGUUUGCCAUAAGCCUUGACCUAUAAUCAAGGUUCCACCACCACUUGCAUAACAAACUAAUAUUUUGUUUUCUCAAAUCAUUAAUACCCAAACCCCCUUUAUUCCUGGAUCUACAAACCCUAGACCACUUCACAAGAUGAUAUUUCUUCUUAUCUCCAGUACCUUGCCAAAGAAACCUUCUUCUAUGUUUAUCAAGUUUUUCAAUAAAGGUCUUAUUAAACAAGAACAUUGACAUAUGAUAAUAGGGUAGACUGGAUAGACAAGCAUUCAACAAAAUAGUCUUGCCACCCAUAGACAAGGUAUAACCUUUCCAAGCCUCCAAUCUUUUAAGAAAUUUAGUAUUCAGGAAUUCCCAAUCUUUAUUUUUAAUAGAAGCAAAACUAACAGGGACACCAAGAUAACGCAAAGGAAGUGUACCAAUUUGACAGCCAUACAAAUUAGCAUAGUAGGAGGCAAUAUCAUUAUCCCCCCCCUCCCCCCCCAAUAAGAAACACUUCACUCUUGAGGAAGUUAAUUUUCAAACCAGACAUCAUUUCAAAGAUGUACAACAACAACUUUAGGUUAAUGGCUUUCUCCUCAUCAUGCUGCAAGCAAAUUACAGUAUCAUCAGCAUACUGUAAGAUAGCAAGCCCAUUCUCAACCAAAUCACUAGCCAAAUCAGUAAACAUAUUAUUUCUUUGUCCCUUCAAAACCAUUUUAGUGAGAAAUUAUGCUUCCAAGUUAAACAACAUAGGAGAUAAAGGAUCCCCCUGCCUCACCCCUUUGGAACUAACAAAAUAAGGACACACGGUAUCAUUCAGCUUAACACUAACAGUGCCAUCCCUAAGAACUUGAUCAAUCCAAUGACACAAUUUCUCAUUAAAACCUUUAUGAUGAAGACAGGAAAGCAAAAACUCCCGAUUAACUUUGUCAUAUGCUUUUUCAAAAUCAAGUUUAAGAACAACACCAAUCUCCCUCUUGACAUGGGUGUGAUGCAUAACUUCAUGCAAGGUUAAAACCCCAUCCCUAAUAUUUCUUUUUUUAAUGAAAGCAUUCUGUUGAAUAUUGAUCAGUUUAUCAGCAUAAUGUUCCAAACGAAUAGUUAGGGAUUUAGUCAACCACUUGUAUAUAUAUUUAAGUAAACAGAUAGGCCUAAAUUGUUGAAUCUUAUCAGCACCAGUCAAUUUUGGCAAAAAAAAGUAAUGACACCAUAAUUCAGUCUUUGUACCUCCAAAGUCCCCUUAUGAAACUCUUGAAACAUGUUAAAAAUAUCAGAGGAGAUAAUAGGGCAAGAAGCUUGAAAAAAUUCAAUUGGAAUAUUGUCAGGGCACCUCCCUUGUUAGGUUUCAUGGAGAACAGAGCAUGUAUUAAUUUCCUCCAUUGUAAAAGGCUUAGUUAGAUCAUCAUUAUCUUGGACAGACAGGAUUUCAUGGGCUUCCCAAAGAUCAGAAUCAAUAUUAAACAGAUUACCAGGAGCUGGGCCAAAUAACUCUUUAUAAUAAGAGGUAGCAUGAGCUAAAAGAUUUUUAGUUCCUUCUAUAUUAACAUCCCCAUCUUUGAGAUUAUGAAUAGUGUUCUUCCUCUUUCUACCAUUAGCAAUUCUAUGGAAAUAUGCAGUAUUUUGAUCCCCUUUCAAAAUCCAGUUUUCAUGAGAUUUCUAAACCCAGCCUAAUUCCUCCUCAACAUCAAGGCUAUCAAGUUCAGUAAGAAUAUCCACUUUUCUACCAAACAUGUUAGGAGGCAAGACAUCCACCUCCUCCCAUUGCUCAAUAGCAGCAAGCUCCUCCUUAAGGUCAUUUCUCCCUUUUCUAUUAACUCCAAACAAGUGAGACCCCCAUCCUUUAAAAUACUUUUUAAUUUUCUUCAACUUGAUAUUAAUCACAUCCACUACAUUAUCUUUAGUGACAGGUUGGUUCCAAAUCUCAGCAACUUUAGGAAGAAAAUCUUCAUUUUUUAACCAGGCAAGAUCAAAAUGAAACUCUUUUUUUUUCAAUUUAGGUGGACCGACAUUGGAAUUCAACAGCAAAGGAUUAUGAUCAGACUUAGAUCUAACCAGCUUCUCAACAGUACCAAAGGAAACAAAUCCUCCCAAUCAAAAGACAUGAGCACUCUGUCAAGUUUUUCCAGAAUGUGAUCAGUUUGGUUAUUAGACCAGGUAAAAUCCCCCCACUCAGAUUAAUUUCUCUAAGACCCAAGGUGUGAAUAAUAUAAUUAAACAGAUCAGAAGAAUGAGAGGCAUGGAACUGUUUAUUUUUUUCACCCGCAUGUCUAAGAACAUUAAAAAUCCCCACCCACAAUAUAAGGACAACCAAGUCCAUUACAGAAAGCUGCCAAUUCAGCCAAGAAAGCACCCCUCAAAUCCUCAUGAGCAGCUCCAUAAACAGAAAGCAAGCUCCACUUACAUUUCUUAGACUUAUCCCAAAGAUCAAGCUGAACAAUAAAAUCACCCAAUUUAAAAGAAGAAACAUCAAACUUAUCAUUUCUCACACCACAUAAAAUCCCACUAGCUCUUCCCAAAGAAGGAAUCAAUUUCCAGAAAAAAUCACCUCUAGGAUCAAGGAGUCUGAAAAAACUAGGAAGGUAAUCUUUUUUAUGUGUCUCCUGAAAGUAGAUAAAGUCUAGGUUAUUAGCAUGGAUUAAAUCAGAGAGGCAGGCAACCAUGCCCUUUUUACUUACCCUCUGCAAUUCCAAAAUAGACCAAUCAUGAAGUAUUUGUGAUUUGCUUUCCCCUCCUUCUAGUAGUGCCAGGGGGUACAGGGCCCCUACUAGAAAGAGAGGCAGCUUUAUUCCGACUUCUAGUCACAGGUCUCAAACACUUAGGGGAUACUUUUACUCUAGGAAUCUUCUUUUUCUUAGGCUGUACCAACACAAAUUGUUGCUGCUCAUCCUCAUCAUCAGAUAACCAUUGAAGGGAAAGGGGGGGGGGGGGUAGAUUCACCAUUGUUAGUCACAAUAUGCAGAUUAGUAUCCAAGGACUGAUGUUUUUUAAGAAGAUUAGCUCUGACCACUUCCAAUUCCUAAAGAAUAUUGAUGGAAGAGAAAUUAUUAUCUGGGAAACACACCCCUAGCUAGCUGUGUAGCCCUAAGAACCAGCUCAUUAUUUGCGAUAUAAGCCAAAAGAGUAGAAAUAGAUUCAGAGAUAGGGCAAGCAGCAUUACCUUCCACGUUCCUUUUCCUAGAGACUAAAAUAGCUUUCUCCAACAUUUUACCCAAGUUUCCCUGUUUCAAUAACCUCUGACUAAACCUGAUUCCAGAUUCAGAAACAAGAUGAUCAUCAAUAAAAACAUCAUGUAUUAAUACCUGCUCUUCCUCUCCUGGACCUUCAAGCAGCUCACCAGAUGGAGAAUGAACAACAUACUCAUGAAUUUGAGAUAAAGCAACAGCUUGAGAUUCGUUCAAUUCUACAAUAUGAGGAGCAAUAGUAUCCAUCACAACUGGAGGUAUAGUAGGAGACACAGAGUAUAGGGUCCAUGAAGGUUACCAAACAACUUAGAAGCCACCAUCAAGCAAGAGAUAUUUAGAGUAGCAGGAGCAAAAGAAGGAGCACAAGGAAUUACCAUCUUCCUCACACACCUCAUCAGAUGGAGUACUGAAAUCAUCCCCAAAAUCAACAGCUUCAUCAACAAGUUUAUCCACCAGCAUAGCAACUGGUUCCACAGGAACAUCAGUGCUCUGAUUCAGAGUAGGAGGUAAGUGCUCAAAAACAUCAGUUUGAACAACCCCUUGCAUAGGUACAAUAUUCAGAGGAGAAACAUUAACAGAAACAUCCUGCAAAGUAGGCAUUUGCAAAAGCACCACCUAAACAUUACUAACGGUAGGAGAAGAAAAGUCCAGGCCCACCCUAGUAGAAUAGUUGCCAGUAUUAUGCCUGGAGCUCCCAGCACCUCCCAUACCAAAGGUAUUCUGCUCACUCAUAGGAGGCUCGAUAUCCAUUCUAGGACACUUGUUAGGAGAAAGAGCCAUAGUAGGAUCUUGACCAUCCACAGCCACACCUCUGGCAUUCUUAGGAUUCUCACCCACAAUGACAGAGUCAACGUCAUAGAAAAAAUCAUAGAAAUGUCGGCCCAAACAUCUCUCAGCAACCUCAGGAAGUUAGGUAAUGUCUCGGCAUCCCAAGAGAACACGAACGUACUCAGGUUUAUGCAAAGUAGACGUAUCAAUUUCCAAAGGCACACCAACUAAGGAAGCAUCAAAGGAAGCAUUUCUCUCAGUACGCUUAUCAGUAGGAAUAUUAGAGACACGCACCCAGGCAAUGUUCAGCUCAGCUUUAGCUCCCACAGAGGUAGUCCAGUGAGUUAAGCGUAAAGUAGCAGCACAACCACACAUAGUGAAUCUAUCUUGGUAACAAGCUUUCUCAACCUCGCGAGCAUUAGGAAAACGCAUCACAUAUUUGUCAGGACCAAUCUGCCUAGCAGUACACCUCCAACCCGAAGCAAAGAAUUUUGUGAACUCAUUUUCAAUCUCCCUACAAGAAGCAAUCCCCUCUAUCACAGAGAUAACCACACUACUAGAACGAUCUUUCAACUGUUUAGCAGAGGCAGCAUCAUGCAUGUAAAAAAAACCCUGACCCUUAGACAAGCACACAUCUGAGCCAUGCAUUCCCAAGGAAGAACGACCAUACAAGAAGCUUGCAAAUGACCAGAUCUCCCACAACGCUCACACACAAGAGAAGGACAUCGGGCAGAAAGAUGAGCAGUCAAUUUGCAGUGACUACAAGGAACAAUGUUACCGGGAUUGGAGCGAUUCGUCUCCGAGCGCCCCCCUUGAGCAGAUCUGUUAUCCUGGUCGCCCAUCGCCGCCAGCGCCCAACGAUCUGGCUGCGUCCCCACACGAACACCUUGCGUCGCCGCCGCCACCUCCCAGCGACCAGCCGCAGCCGAUCCACCAUAAGUCGAAGAAGACUGCAGUUCUGGCGAGUUGCGUUUCCAGACGUUCGGCCGCGCUCGACCCCGAUCCUGGCGCCCAGCACCACGCCCUUGACGACUCGCGCCGAAACCAUCAAGGUGAUGGCCCCAGUUGAAACGGGCGCUCUGAUCCGCCAUGGGUGCCGGGUCUCUCACCACCUGAGCAAAAGAUCUGGAAUCCCCCGCUACCUUGCCCCGCCACCACCCAAAGGAAUUGCCUCGAGGACAAGCAGGAGACGAAACCCUAGAUCUAGACCAAAAAUGAUGUAAACAAGCAUCAAGAUCGGACUCACCGAGGGGAAAAGUAGAGGCAACUCCACUCGGAGACCCCACUGGGUCCCUUCUGGCAGAAGCAAAACCACCAUUGAUCACAUGAGGAAUGGUAGAUCCCGCCGCCACACGUCCUGUAGACCCCGGCGCCGCCCCAAGCACGCCUGGAUCCUUUGUACGUGGCGGAAUCGCACCAAGGACAAGAACCUCAGGUGCACACCCACUCGAGGGAUCCGCCCUCCCGUGUACCACGUAGCAGGGAAGCGUGACCGACUGCCCAUGGAACUGGAACCCCGGUCGAGAAGAGCGAUCGAUGAUACACUCGCGAUCAUCCCGUAGAAGGAGAGUCUGAUCCCCAACGCUAUACUCCAAGCUCUCGUGAAGGAUCCGAAGCCGAGAGGACGAUAGCACCGUCGAGAAAGUCACCGGCCACCGUGGAGAGAGAUGGGGAGCCGAGAAUGAGAACGUAGACGUGUCCAUCUCCUUGCCAACCUCGGAAUGGAACCUAGAUUUUAGAUUUUUACUUAAAAGUCAGACAACUUCAAGUAUUAUUACAUUUUUGACCAGCCUCGACGUUUGGUCACUGUAGACCGUGCCGUGUGGUUGUCUGCGAAAGGAGAUUUCACAACGACAGGCAACAAACGCGCAUUCGUCGCCUAUUGAAGUUGACACUAGUCGUUCAGUGCUGCGGCGGCGGUCUCCGUUCAGGUCUGGUUCGCUGGCUCAAACAAAAAACGAGCCCCACUCCCAUCAAGGUUUUCGCAAAACAACGGCUAAGAAACGAUGUGCCGCCUUCUUUCGUACCCUUGUCAACUUGCUGGAGUCAUCUAGUAGGUGCCUGGAUCGAAUUCUUUAGGAAUAAAUAUACCUUACCUAUCUUUCCACGUGAUUAACUCACGAGACGAUGUGCCGGUGAUUGUCUUGUCGACGCUUUGUGGUGCUCCGUUCGAAUUCUAUAGGAAUUGUCGUCGCCACCUACACGCCUACACUCCACAGUCCUGACCGUUGUAUAUAAACACACCGGAGCUGGUAGUCCAACGCCUCGUAUCAUCCAAACCAAUCCAACGUCCCCUAGUUCUUUCUACCCAGCGCGCGCUAAAAUUCUCAAAGAAUAGUUUGUCCCCGGUCCUUUCCAAUUUCCACCCCACUUUUGAUCGAGCCCAGUAUCCAUGUGUGGCGGUGCCAUCAUCUACGACUACAUCCCGGCGCCCCGCCGGGUGUCGGCCGCGGACUUCUGGCCCGACGCCGACGACUCCGACGCCCACAGCACCGCCCCCCACAAAGGUACGCACGCCACGCCUACAAUUUCCUACGGAGUAUAAGAAGUAGGAAUUUCCGUUGCCAGCUGAUAGGACUGAAUGAGUGGUGUGCAUUUGCAGCGCGGCGCGCGAAGCGGGAGAAGAGGAACCAGUACCGCGGCAUCCGGCAGCGGCCGUGGGGUAAGUGGGCGGCGGAGAUCCGCGACCCCGUCAAGGGCGUCCGCGUCUGGCUCGGCACCUACCCCACCGCCGAGGCCGCCGCGCGCGCCUACGACCGCGCCGCGCGCCGCAUCAGGGGCGCCAAGGCCAAGGUCAACUUUCCCAACGAGGAGCUCCUCCUUGCCUCUUCGCCGGCCACGGCGGCGGCGGCGGCUCCGCCGGCCGUGCUUUCCUCGUUCAAGAAGGAGGAGGACGCGGAGUUCGGGUCCGUGGCGUGCUCCGGCGAGGCCAAGGAGCUGUCCGAGGAGCUGAUGGCGUACGAGAACUACAUGAGCUUUCUUGGCGUCCCCUACAUGCAGGGCGGGGAUACGGCAGCCCCUGCCGCCGAGGAGGCGCCGGCGCCGGCGCCUGCCGCGCUAUGGAGCUUCGAGGACUACUAGUGGCAGAAAUCAGUGUCCAACUUCCUGUCGGUCGUGUUUAAUUUGUUCAAUUCAUUUUUUCAGUUUGUAACUGUGUUUGGAGUCCAAUGGCAAUUCGCUUGCUCCGUGUAACUGUGUAAGCAAAAUUUGCAAUUUAACUUGUUUGCCGUUCUGCAAGUAUUCGUCCUUUUCCAACGUGGAACCAACCAAUUGGUUUACAGCGAAUUGAUUUCAGAAGCUGGUAUCAAUGAUUUGGUACGAGAAAUCGUAGUAUCAUUGUACAUUUGCACUAGAUUCCCAAUUCCAGGUUACAGCGGGGUGCAGAUUUCAAACGUUAAAAUUUGAACAUUAUAUAUGGUCUAGAUAAUCAUGGCAAUCACAGACCGAAGCAAGAAAAUAAAAAACUCCACAUGGCAAAAAAAGACUUUGAGAAAACGUUUUUUUUAAGACUGAGAAAAAUAAUUUCUAAGUUGAUAUAUCUGACCCAUAAUUAAAUUAAUAUUCGUGCAAGACGUACAAAGAUGAGAAAUUUUUCACUGGAUGACUAUAAUUAUAAUUGUUGACUAAAAAUAAUCUCUCUGAAUUCAUAAUAAUUGUCUCAGAGAGAAUUAACUAUUUUGAAUUUAAACUAAGAAGUACUACAGUCCCUUGAAAAAAAAUCUAUCUUGAAAUAACUCACCGGACAAACCGAGCCGCUUUGUUGACUCGUUCGCCGCUCCGAGCAGAAGAGCCGCCGUUUUCACGCCCGUCGUUUUGCCGUUGUACUUCGGGUGUAUCGAGGCCAAGGUAGUACAGGAAGUACAGGUAUUGGCACGACACUUCUGACUCCUGUAGAGUUCUUUACCUGCAGCCUGCAGGUUGCAGCCGAAGGGAAACGUUUUUCUGUGGGCCGACGAUACCGGGGGCAGCUACUUGUUUCCGGGUCGCCGUGCAAGCCACAACAUCUACGGGGCCCUGCACCUAGCUUUCGCGCCGGCGGCCGCCAAGACCAAGAAAGAAAAGGCGAAGUUGCCAUCUCCUUGCACAUUUCAGCAGGGUUCCAAACUUGUCGUGCAAGUUCUAGAAUGCCUUUUUGGUUGCUGACUCCCCUAACAGACCGUUUGGUAACAAGAAUUCAUUUCAUCGGUAGGAAUGAAAUUAAAUCCAAUUUUUAAUAAGAUUCCAGUUGGUUGAAUUUGGAUUCCGGGUUCAAAAAUCAUGUUUGUCUACCACAUGAAAUCUGUAGAGUGAGAGACAACUUUAGGAAAUGAUGGCUUUUAGAGAGAAAUUGGGGUUAGUUACAGUGUAAUUCCAUGGAAUUUGAGAUCGGAUUCCUAUGGCCAAUUCCGUGCCACCUAAACAAGUUGGUUUCUGGAAUUCAAAAUGAAUUUCAUAAUUCUAUGCCUAAAUGAUGGGUGCCAAAGAUCAAAGCUUCGGCACUGACCGUAGUAUCCAUUACCACAGGUUUGGCAUUCAUGUGAUGCACAAGGCUUUUGACACUUGCAGAAAAUCAACUCCGCCUUUAUUUCGUAGGUGUGUAGACAUAUUCACAGGGUGCGAUCACACAGAUGCAGAAGAGAAGCAGAGUCACCCAUUAUUGGUUAAUAUAUAUUUGGGUUUGAGUGACUCCCUCUAUCUAGCAAUUUGUUUAUUAUACGCACAGAGUGCCUGCAACUCCGCAACUUCACAAAUUGACAGAACACACUUUUGCACCAGGUAUCUUACUUGAUCAUCGCAUGUGCAGCAAGAGCAGCUCUGGCUUCUCCACGAGGCUUUUCCAUUCAUUGCAAAACCUUGCCACCGUGGCACCAUCAACAACUCGGUGAUCAGCUCCAACAGUAACCUGCAUGGCAUAGCAUGGGAGAUCACAGUAAGUCCAAGUGCAAGUGGUGCAAGCCCGGUGCUAGGCAAAGUGUGUGCAAAUGAUCAUACAUUGAUUAUGGAGGAAGCGUAAACGUUUUCGCCUUCGUCAAAGCGAGGGAGCUUCUGAAUGCGGCCCAGAGCAAUGAUCGCAACUUCAGGAAGGUUGAGGACUGGGGAGCCGAACUUGCCGCCAAUGGCACCGAUGUUGCUUAGUGUUAUGGUUCCACCAGCAAUAUCUUCGGUGCUUAGUUUGUUGUGCAAUGCGAUCUCAUGUAAUCUUGACAAUUCUUUUGUGAUCUGAUGUAAUCAUGGAACAAAUUUAGGAACACAAGAACAAAAUCAACUAUGUCCAAAUGAAGAUGUGAUUGGAUGAACUUCAAGUUAUAUGGUGUCAAAUGAGUAAAGCAGAUGUGGUGCACCCGUACUUGUAUGCACCAUAACAUUUCUGGUCAAAUGAGUCACUUAUAAGUUCAUAGUCAAUCAUCUGAAGGAAAAAUAGUUUUCGUAGUUCGCAUAACAUCAAAUCUUUCAAGGUUGGUCUAGGGUGUUAUCUCAACAACAUGAACAUUAAUUAGUACUUUGAGCAAACGAAUUCAUCAUGAAGUUAGUAAGAAAAGAAAGUUGCUGCUGACCUCCAAUAUUGAAAGUGACUGAACUUUCUUGAUGUAUGGCACCACUAAUCCAUGUGCUGUAGCCAUAGCUACCCCAAUGUUGUGGGAUCCUAGACAAAUAAAUAACCAGUGUCAUGAAAUCUUCAGUACAAAAGCCGCCUUGCAUAGACAUAGUGAGGCAACGUUGUCUUUAUAUGUCUUCAGUACAAAAGCCGCCUUGCAUAGAUAUAGUGAGACAGCGUUGUCUUUAUAUGAUGCACUAUGUACGUAAAUGCAAAAUUCUUAAUUAAAAAUUACAUUCCCUAUCUUCUUGCAUACAUACAAAAUGAAAACUGGGGUGUAAGACAGCAACUCGUGAAACAGUAAACUCAAAUGAGUGACCAUUUCCCACUCAACUUAGAAAUAGUUAUUUCUCAACUGAUAUUUGUCAAUGGUGAUCUUCAUAUCCCUUUGUGCCAACAUGGAUCUUAAUAAUCAGAUCAGAUGGUUCUUAGCGUGAACUUAGAAAUAGUAAUUUCUCAGUUGCAUAAGAUACAGCAAAACCACAAAGUCAAUGGUUGCAUACCUUUAAAAACAACUUCAUUUGUUUCCUCAAUGAAAGAGCUGUUCAACAAAGGGUAUUUACUCAGUGCCAUAGAAAGAGACUUUAUGAGGAAUGGAAGGAAGGUAUGCUUGAUAUUAUGAUCUUUAUUCUCCUUUUGGAAUGAUGCCUUAAGUUUUAUAAGAGCAUCACAGUUUAUUUCCUCCAGAUAAUGAAAAUGUGGUACUUUUGCAGCCAGGCUCAUUGAUUUCACCAUUGAUCUCUGAUAUCCUCUGUAGAAAGACAUGUUUUCAUUAUAGACUGGAGUGGUCAUGUAUGUUACCAACCCAUAUCAAAGAAGGCUCUCACGAAAUAUUGUAAUACCUGAGAGGAACUCUCUUAUCUUCAUAACACUGAGCAUCAAGUAAUGAUUUUCCUCCCUCCAGUAACUCAACUUGACCAACAUUUUCUUUCAAUGCUGAUGGUUUCUCCUGGCAAAGACUCUUGUUGGCAGCGUAAUUCAACACAUCUUCUUUCAAAACUCUCCCAUCUUUUCCUGUACCCUGAAUAUCAUUUAUGUUGAGCCCAUACUGCUUAACUAGAUGCCUGACAGCUGGUGUAGAGAGGGUUCCAUGAGGAGCAUUGCCUUCACCUACAGGACUUGCACUAUCCAUUCCAAGUGACACAUCAGGGGAUGAAGCCAUACUAUCAUGAGAUACAACUUGACUGUCACCCACAAUCAUCUUCAAUAAAGUUUCUCCAACCUAAGGAGCGCAGAUUGGAAUCAGACAAUUAAGAAGAAUGAGGUAAAUAAAUCUAUUGAGACUGAAAGAAUUACAAGAGAUCAUAACACAGUCUUGCACAAUAUUCUAGGAGGUGUAUGAAAAUAAACCAGGGAAAAUUAUAACAGUUAUGACAAGUAUCCCAAAGCUACCUUCACUAUGUCACCAGGGGCGAAGUGAACUUGAUGUACGGUUCCCUUGAAACGGCUUGUUAUUUCAAUAGUUGCUUUGUCGCUCUGUACUUCACAGAGCUGCUGAAAUUCAUCUACUUGAUCACCCUGCCAAAUGAGCAAGUAAAAAAAACUCCAGUUAGAGAUGAAAGAAAGAAAAACAAAUACAAAAGAGGCAAGAUUGAUUUUGAAUUGAGUAGCACAUUCCUCAGAUCAUAGGCAGCAAUAUCUCAGUAGUUAUUCCUGAAUUUGUAAUCACGUUGGCUUUUAUUGGGCUUUGUAACUUUAGUUACCAAGGUUAGCAACAUAGAUCAGAAUGAGACUUCAGUGAGCCUCCCAAUGAGAAAGAGAUAGUUUCAAAUAAUGAUUCAUGUGUCAUAGCCUCAUAGGGCAGAACACUCAGCAUGCUAAUAGUAAAUCAGCUGGGACGGAAUCAAGAUUCCAUGCAGGGCCAGAAGACCACUUCUUACAAUGACACAGGCUUGUGAUUCGUGAAUCCGGCUCAAAACAUUGACUGGCUGUCUUAUUAUGUUGGUAUUCACUCAGGAAGUAAUCAAGUAACUUCUGUACUAGAAACCAACAUUCAUAUUGCAAAAUAUAUAGUACUAGAUUACUGAUGACUGAAUGUCUUGUUACAGUUUCAAGUCAUAGUCUUAUGUACCAUGUAAAAAACAUCAGUGAGGAACCAGAUUAUGCAAGUUCUACUGCUGGUAACUCAAGCAAUGAGCGUUACAAGAACCAAUGCCUAACAUGUACAAGGUAUAGCAUCAUAAUUUUCCCCAUCCGGCCUGUCUCACCGACAGGUGACACCAUAACCCACAUGUCAGCGACAUAUGGCGGAGCAAGUGCAAAGUACAGUGUGGCAUGUGAUCAAAAUCUGCCAGCAUUGCACAGAUCGAAGUAUUGGACCCGAUGGUUAAACGUCGACCCCAAUCCAUUCGAACGCAUCAAAUAUUUCACGAGGAAUGCAGGAUCAGGAACAAACAACUGCACCACAACAUGAUCAAACAAACUAGUUCACCAAUAACCAAGUCGUAUGCCGCCCCGAUUCCCUCAUAGCACAAUUCUAUGUUGAAGGAAGCGGCUUGAGAGUUGAGACUCACCUCGCUGACGAACCAGCGGAGCAGCUCGCACUCGGCGAUCCCUUCCCCCGUUUGCGCCAAAGGAACAUCGACCAGCUCAGCCGCCUCCCCCGCCGGCACCGGCGCCGCGGAGGCAUCGCUCGCGAACCACCUGCUCCUCCCGCCAACUGCACGCCGCCACUGCACGGCUCCAGUGCCAAGUCGGGAAGAUCAAGACCACACGCGCAAAUGAGUUGAGGAAACGGUGAGGAAGGGCCCCGCAGACUUACGUCAUCGUCGAGGAGCCGCACGUACGAGGACGAGGAGGAAGAGGCGGCGGCGGCGGCGGCGGCGAAGCGGAGUGGGGAGAGGGGAAGGAGGAGACGGCGGAGCGGCGGCGAGGGCGUGGCGGGUGCCACCGGCGGAUGCGGCGGCGGGGGCGGCGUUGUGGGACGCGGGAGCACGGGGAAGGGGCGGCGGCUGGAGCGGGAGGCGAGCCGGCUCCAGGCCAUGUUUGGGUGGGGAAGCUGCCAGCUGCUUCCUUGUCUCGUCUGUGGAGGAAAGCUCUACUAGCUAGCCAGCUGCUUCCUUGUCUCGUCUGCUAGUGCUACGGCUGCAUCGGGGUUUGGAGUGUACAUAGCAGUGGUGGCGGACCGGUGGUGGCUGGAAGCGGAGGAGGAAGAGGAGUGCGGGGCACUGGCACUGCAAAAAUGCGAAGAGGCUAUCAUCAUCAUCGAGGAGUUCCCAACGCCUCCGCGCUUCGUGAAAAACAUGUCUUCUUUCUUUAUAAAUUCUUUUUCCAAGACAGGCGAACAGAUAGGAGUGCGCUGAGGUGGCAGCAAGAUCCAUGUUUUCUUUUUCAAAAGAUGUCGUAGGAAAAAAUGCUAUGGUAAGAAUGAGGUAAAAUCAGAGUGAGUUUUUAAGUUGUGAAGUACUAGUACCAGAGGAGUGAGGUUGGAGCGAAACCGAAAUAAACUAAUCCGUAUUAAUAAAAUCUGAAAUGUUCAAAUUUUGCUAAAAUUUCAUUAUUUCAUUAAACUCCCGUUGAACUACUAUUUCACAGCCAUUAAAGUUGGCCCGCAUACUUGUUCACUUUUUCAGUGAUCAGCACAGUAGAAACCUUGCGAAUUGUGAAGUCAAGUAUCUUUGCUAUGUUUAGUUGGACCAUUUAGUGGUAGAUUUUCUUACUACUUCAAAUUUUGAACUUAAAUAAUACAUUGUUCAAACAUACUCCCUCCGAUUCUAAAUUGUUGUCGAAAUACUUCCUGUAUCUAGACGCUUUUUAAGAAUAGACACUUUCAUAUUUGGGCAAAUUUGAGUCAAGAAUUUAGAAUGAGGAGUAUCAUUUUGUUCAGUUAGACUCGUACGACACUAUCUCUGAUCAUGUGGUCACUCAAACGGUUAACUGGAUGAAGCUCAAGACAAGUUGGCACAUCCACUUGAGGGAAAUCUGCUGUUGUGCUUGGCGAAGUAUCCGGUGAAAACUCUCGUUCGGUGCAAACUUCAUAAAAAACAUGUUUAGAAGUAUCAAAAAAAUUCUAAAAAAAUAACAUAUGUUGCUACUGUGAUGUUCUACAAACCUGCAAAAUUUCAAGCUCAAAAUCAAAAGCAUUUGGGAGAAAUUAAAAAGAGAAAUUUACAAUAAAUAGUGUCGAACAUUGAAAAACCACUGUUCAUGCAGAAUUUGUCUUUUUCGCUGCUACCAAACGAAAUUGAGUUUGGACUUGAAAUUUUACACAUAUAUAAAACAUCACUUUUCUAACAUAUGAGAUUUUUUUGAGAUUUUUUUGAACUUUUUUCGAUGAAAUUUUCACAGUUUGCACCGUAGAGGUGGUUUUCACCGGAUACUUCGCCGUUGUGCUUUCACAUAUUGUUAAAUCUUUAGGUUACCCACUUAAGCGAAAUUUGCUGUUGUGUUACAUCGUUCUACGUUUGUAGGUUUAACAAAUGUCAAGUUUGUAGGUCUAACAAAUGUCUACAAGAAGACAUGUCAAUGUUUGACGCCAGCGAACUGGCAGAGUUGCCACAAUCCCAUAGAUAACAUUGUAGAUAAACAUCAAUAAAGCCCAUUUCUGUUUUUACAGCCUCACAAAAACAGAAGCAGAGUUUUCUUCUUAACUGUCAUGGGUAAAAGUGCAAGUGAUCAGUGACACAGUGCCAGUGUUGUACAAGGAUCUCAGCAGCAGCAUAGUACCAACUAGAGCGCUCAGCACAAUAUUCUAUAACUCAUGUUUCGCCUAAACCCAGACUUCUCUCCUGUGAAUGCAGCUGUUGGCUAAUUAUCUGUUUAAACGACACAUGACGCGCCUAGUUACAUUUCCAUACAACUGUGCCACAUAUUCUGCUUCCCUGGUGGAUUCCACCUAUUCGAGAUGUUCCAUCUGUCAAAAGACAUAUUGUUAGUAUAUCAAAGGUGAGGUUAGAAAAAUAAACUAUAUAUACCCAAAGGUAUGUACCCAAAAAAUGGAACUUUCAAAAAUUAUAUCCAAAUUUCCUUUGAAUUCGUGCAUUUGAAAAUAUGGUGACUGAGCACCAUGGGGCAUCUACCAUUUUGACCUAUAUCUUCUAUUAUGAUAACUUAAUGAAACAGUUUAAUUAUUCCUAUUUAAAAAGGAAAUGAGAGGGAGACAGGGAAAAGUAGAGUACCUUCCACAGUCCAUCAUUCAGAUAGUGCAUGUUGUCAACUCCAAUUCCUUUGUUGAUGGUGCUUCUACAAAAGUUAAGGAUUUCAGGAGCAGCAUUACAAGAGUCAAAUGUAUACCCUACUUGUCAGUGACACAUAACAGUAGGAUUGAAUAUGACUGAAAUCUCAGAGAACUAUUGAAGAGCAAGCAAAGAGUGCAAGGUUCACACUUAACAAGUACUCCCUCCGUUCCAUAAUUCUUGUCGAAAUAUUACAUGUAUCUAGACACCUUUUAGGAAUAGAUACAUCCAUUUUUUUGACAAAUUUGAGACAAGAAUUAUGGAACAGAGGGAGUAACUUGCAGACUGAGAAGCAUCAUUAGUAACUAAUCCAUCAAAACAGAACUUACAUGUCUUUCGCUGACAUCUUUGUAAAUCCAAUUGCCAGUGCAUGUUGUUUGCCUUCAGCCAUUAUAGCCUGACAAUUAAAAUUUUGAACAGAUAAAAAAUUGAGUCUGGUGGUUAGCAUGCUCAGGGGAGGGAAGCUUGUUCAUCAAUUUAAUGUAUAUAUGAUGCAUAUAAUAAGCUACUAGUAAAAACACUAUCAUAUUUAGCUAUUACAGGGUACACUAAUCUGCAUGUUGUUAACUACAACUUCCUAAUCAUGUAGAUGAGAGUCAUUCUUACAGUAUCUAUAGAUGGAUCAAUUAGCAAGUCAGAAGCAAUUCUUUUACCACUGGUGUUUCCUCCUCGACUUCCUUGUCCAAGACCCCGCCAGGUGAUGUCAGUCCAGGGCACAUUAUGUUUGCACCAGAGAGAACAAACUUGAUAGCACCUCUAUCCACUUGGAAUUUCUUCAUGAUAUCAGGAUCUGAUCAUUGGCAAGCAUAAGUGAGCAUGAAAUAGGGAGAUAUUUUGCAUUAUCACAUAACUUGAAUAAUUUCCAUUCCGGGUGAUAUGCUUGAACAGGUAAAAUUUAAGAAUGAUGGCGCACAAGUCUUUAACAGCUGAACAUGUCCAAACAUAUUUGGGGAAAAAACAAUACCACACAUAAUGUUGGAGAACAUAGGGGACAAACAGAUGCAGCGAUGACAUGCCAGGAAAAUUGAGAGAAGAAAAUUACACUGAUGAAGAAGGCGCAGGGUUGGCAUGUAAGGUCCAUCACGGAUGUUGAAAAACAGUGGGACAUUAUUCACCACCACAAGAUUCAGAUGAUUUUGGCUAAGGAAACAAACAAACAGUGAUUAGAGCACUUUAAAAUGCCGCAAUCUUGCAAAUAAAAGCAAAUAAUUCUUUGCUUAUUAAUGUAAUUUUACCAACAAUUACAUGCACCUUUACGUAUUCUCAAGUACAAAGAAUUAGGAAAAAAAGGAAAUAGCCAAAUUGUAACUUUCAGUACGUAAAAGAAAAGAAUACACAUAAAGACAGACUAUCAAGCAAGUUGAACCAGAAAGAUGGAACUACUGACCAUUUAACAACAAUCAUAGGCGACUUCUUUGGAAGCAUGUCAUCAAGCAAAGGUUCAAGGGCAGGAUACUGCAGUAAACUUAAUUUCAGUAUAGCUAAAUAGAAGAGAGCAGAAUUUGGAACUAAAAUGAAAGAGAAAUGUAGCGCUAUGUAGAUUCUUUGACGUAACACAACCUCAUCAGCAAUACUUUGUCGAAUCCUUCGCUGUACAGAAGCCUUAACUUGAUUUUGUCCAGAUAUAUCUUCAGAAGAGAAUCUAGGGAUAAAAAAGAGCAAGGUAUUGUUAUUGUGAAGGUACAAGAUUUUGUACAGAAUACGAUGAGCCAAUGACCAUUGGAGCCAUGAAUCAUCUGCACAUAAUGUGUAUAAUCAAAAGGUAUUCAAUAGUUUUAAGGAAAACCAUGGUACUAGGUUACUGAAGAAAAAUUCCUUGUACAAUAUCGACAUAACCCAUAUAGAUGACACAUAAUAAUGCAAUUAUAAGUGAAAGACCUCAAUUAAGCAGCCAUUAACGUCAUAUGCUUACACAAUAUAGAAAUAAAUUUGUAAAAGUCAACCAUCGAGAUGGUACGGUGGAGACAAAGCUUAAAUUUGCUAAAGAAGCACAUGUAGGUUGCCUACUAUGAUCAUAGAAGGCCUGAUAGUUCCAGCAAUGAUUUCAGUCAACCUAAAGAGGAAAAACAAUCACAUGUCCUUAUUCUAGGCCCAACUCAAAUGUCAACAGGACCACACUAUAACAUCAUUUCAAACUGAUUCAAAUAUACACAUUGUCAGAAAUAUUGGCAUACAAAGAUAACACCAAACAAGUAAAAAAUAAACAGCUCUGCAGCUACAUUGAUGGAAAAUUUGAUUGGCAUUAAAAAUGGCAAUGUACUGCAAGUACUUCCUCCAUCCCAUAAUACGAGGCACGCACGUAUUUCUAAAUCAUCAAUUUGAUUAAUUAAAUAUGUAUAUUUCUUAACAAAAUGUACUCCCUCCAUCCAACAAAAGAUGUCUUAACUUUGACUAAAUUUGAAUGUAUCUAUACACUAAGUCAUGUCUAGAUACAUCCAAUUUUUGACAAACUUGAGACAUCUUUUGUUGGACGGAGGGAGUACAUCAUUAGAUUCGUUAUCGAAAAAACUUUCUAAUGAUAUUUUUUUUACUAUUUAAUUAUAUUUAGUUAGCUAUAUUGAUGAUCUAGGAAUGCGUGUGUGCCUCAUAUUAUUGGAGGAGGGAGUAGAAACUAUGGCAUCAUUUGGCAUUGAGAUGCGUAACAAUCUCAUUUGGAAUUGAGAUAGGUAACAAUCUUUUAUGGUUGAACUGCCUUUACACGUUUUAUUUAUUUAUUUUUAGAUAAUUUUACAUAUUUAGUUGGUUGCCUACCUGUGCGUUCUCUUAAUCAAAUAAAAAACAUAUCUGUUAUUUGCUUCCAACAAAUAUGAGAUGGAAAUGGCAUGGAUAAUAGAAUUUAUUAACUUUCAUUUGUGAAACAGGAAUAUACUCUUCACCGCAUCUUUCCCACAGUAGCUUAGUGCAGCACAGUGACAAGGUGAGCUAAUAGAACCAUAUAUACGAAAACCACUUGCAAAUGUGGACACUCCAGUCAUGCCACUCUAAAUAAGAUGGUAAGCUUAUGCCGCAGAAGCAUACAUAAUUCAAUUAUUCUUGUUAAAUGGUUCAAGAGAAGUGACUGUACAUCUCCUCCACAUAAGCAUAGUGCACCACAGCAAAACAAUGACAAAGUGAUCCUAAAAGUACAUAUACUAAUUACUAAAACAACUCACAAACCAGACACUCCAGUAGUCCAGUAACAUCACUUUUAAAUAAGAAAGUUAGUUUAUGCCAAGGGAGCAUAAAUAAUUCAAUUAUUCUUGUUAAGUGGUUUGAUUAAGAGAAGUGACUAAACAUCUUUUCCACAGAAGGUUAGCAGAGCACAGAACAAUAAUGACAAAGUGAGCGUAAAAGAAGUACAUAUACGAAAACCCCUACCAAACCUGACAGUCCGGUCAUGCCACUCUGAAAUAAGACAGUAAGUUAUGACGCAGAAGCAUAAGUAAUUAAAUUAUACUCCCUCCGAUCCAUAAUAAGUGUCUCAGAUUUAGUACAAAGUUGUACUAGCACUAAAUCUGAGACACUCAUUAUAGAUCGGGAGUACAUCUUUUCCACAGAAGCUUAGUGCAGCACAGCCCAACAAUGGCAAAGCGAGCCUAAAAGUACAUAUACGAAAACUACUCAUAACCUGGACACUCCAGUCAUGCCACUCUAAAAUAAGAUAGUCAGUUUAUGCCGCCGGAGAAUAUAUAAUUCAGUCAUUCUUGUCAAAUGGUUCGACUAAGAGAAGUGACUAUAUUGCUUAAAAAUACCACUCCAACAAACAAAUCCUACUCAAUGAGGCAGUGCGACCAUAAGAGAUGCCCAGCAACCAAAGCAUGAAAUAUUUCCUAGUCAUGCAUGUGAGUACCAUGAGUAAUGGCACGAUGCGCUCCAGUGGCAUGUGUCACAAGCUAGUGCAGUGUGCAGUAGGGCGGCACUUGACCAGGUGAUGCAUCAAGGUGAUUAGCAUGAGAAUGAGCAGUGGUAACUAUUGCCCAAAACAUAAAUUUGGAUCAUACCCUUCUGAAAUACUCCCUCCGUCCAACAAAGGAUGUCUCAACUUUGACCAAAUUUGAAUGCAUCUAUACACUAAGUCAUGUCUAGAUACAUCCAAAUUUUGACAAACUUGAGACAUCUUUUGUUGGACGGAGGGAGUAUAGAAUUUACUGGUAAGUGGUAACUAUUGCCCAAGGUGCCUAGCAUGAGAAUGAGCAGUGGUUCUCUGACUUAAAUCUGCAUAUUAAAAAAAAUUGACUACUUCAUGCUUGAGGCAGCAAUGGUGCCUCCGAAUAUAAUGUUUAAUCAGCAACUCCUCUUUAGUUAGUCCUACAAUAGACACCAUUUCAUUGGGGUCAAGUGCAUCAAGCUCCUUCACUUUUCCAGUCGUGGACAUAACUUGUUGCUGAAACUUUGUAGCUUGAAUAAAGCCAGUUCAACAUAGAUAUAACUCAAGCACAAACUUUUUUGUAGCUUGUAUAAACUCAUUGUCCCAAUAGCCAAUAGUCAUGAGCUACAAUGGUACCAGUCUUGUACUCAAUAUCCUAGGAAGGUAAGUUCAACCACAAACUGCAUCUAUGGCACCACUAUGAACGUCAAUCUCAUCAUCGCAUCUACGCAUAAACAGCUGUACCACCCCUAAGCUGAAUCUCUGACGAACGGUUGGUGCCUAGUAAACUGUACAGCACAGGUACCACAGAACAACUAAUGCCACAUUGAAAAGCAUCAUCACCUUCCAACACAUGACUCGUUCGUGGUUCAUCAAGAAGCUUCAUCCACCGAAAGUACGCUAAACAGCCAAAGGCGCUAGCAUCGUCUACACGUAUCCCCUUAAAAAGGAGCGAGGAAAACAGAGAUCAUCGCUCCGUGCUGUACCCACUGCCAGUUUCAAGAACGCAAAUCGUACGCAUCGACUCAGCAGCAAAAAGGAACACACAGAUUGGUCUCGUUACGCAUAGCAAUCCGACGAUUUGUCGUGGUUGGACGAAGUUAGAGUGCCAAAUUAUGACAGAUCUAGUUAUCAGACAAGAUAUUGGCGUGGGGGAAUUGGGGAGACGGAGAUUUGAGCACUCACUUCUUGAACAUGGUGUGGAGAUUUCUUCAGCCUUUCGCCCUUUCCUCGUUCGGCGUUGGGAGGGCAGCAGACGAGGUAACCUAACUUAACCCCUGUGCAAUUGGGCCAUGAGUUAUCGUGGAUCAGGUAGCACUGUCCAAGAUUAACUCGCAGACAAAAUGGGCUGGCAUGUAACGUAAUAGGCCAAAGUUGGCCCAUAAAACGAUACGACCGGCACUAACCGACCAGAUUGGGUGAGAUGGCGGCGGAAGGUUGGGGUGACCUGAGCGUCGUGGUUUAUCACAUCAAUGCUUUGGAUUAUAAUUUUUAAAAACUACAAAGUACCUUCUAUAAUAAAAAAUUACAACAAAAUCUUUUGAAAACAUGUUCUCCGUGAUAUCCUUUUGCAACAUGAAAUUCUGUUAAUGCUUCAAUAUAGAGACUGCAAUAAGACUGCACAACAGCAUCGUUACUGCUAUCACUGCACGAACUUGAAUACUUUUAAAAGUUUCAAAAGUCACUUGAGUCGCUCAUCCAAAAAGAUGAGAAGUCAUGAGCGUUGAAUGUACUUGGGCCGGAAUGACCCUCUAAAUGUGUAGGUCGUCGAACCGCAAGAUCUUUAUCAGAACGCCAGAAAAGUAUUCCAAAAUUAUAAAAGAUAAAACCAACAAAAGCACCAUGACACACUAACAAAAACUCAACAGAUAUGUAUAAAUUGAUCUGCGAGUACACAAACCCAAGAUCCACAGGAUCGGGUAUACUAAACCCACGGGGAUUAAAAAAUCUCUGGCUCCACAGCAACGCCCGUUAAGACACUACCACAGCAGAGGAAGAUUCAAAAUACAUUUAUUCGCGACGGCAUCGCAACCUCCGUCAUUGUGUUGCCGAUCGGAACCGAACACUUUUGAAUACUCUUAGAAAGAAUCGAGGUUUCCCCCACCUCGCAGUGCCAAGACGGCGGCCGGAGCCGAGGGGAACGCUAAAUCUUAAGGUGACGGCUAGGUCAGAGCACCUGAGCGUCGUGGUUGUGGGUGAAGAGAACGAGAACUACUUGUGGAGUCGUGGUUGUGGGGCUGUGGGAUCGUCCGCUCGUGGCCUCUCUCUGGCAGCAGAGUGGGCUGGGCUAGGGAAUUAUGUUAGCUAGGUUUUUACUUGGGCCAAGAAUUAGGCUGGGCCGAAUUUCACUGGGUUGUUAUUAUGAACCGGGUAUACGGGUAUUCAGGGCCGAGUCUGGCACCGAAAAUUUCUCAUUUACAGACCCGCGUGUCUGAUUCUUUACCUGAACCGCAUGCUAAUCGGGUCUAGACCCGUCGGAUAUUGGGUACCCAUUGUCAUCCAUACUCGUGACUUCUGUUCUGUAUCGCCCACCGCGAUCACCGCGAGGUCGUGUUCAACCUCCGGUCGAGAUUUUUGCAAGGAACCUUCGCCCAAAUAGGUUAUGGUUUUUACUCUAUGAAAAAAAAGCAGGCUAGGGUUCCAACAUAGGGUUGGAGGUACCAUACCUGGGGAAGGGAGACGACAUGUGUGUAGAGGGUGGUCGUCAGCGAUGAGACGACAAUGCACAAGCGAGGCUACGAAAGGUGGCCUAUUGUUUAGGAUGGAUGGGGGCAACGUGGCACACAUCAACGAUGCGGUCAUGUUAAAUUGAAGAAUCGCACAUGUAAUCCGCUUUGCCUGUCAAAUUGAAGAAUCACACACACAACUUAUCAGGAUGAUAGUGCUCGGCUACUCGCAAAAAAAAACUUACAAGUGGGAUGGUGACAUUUACUUCUUCGGUGCAUUGGCAGAGACGAGGCGGAGAAGAUUCUACAAGAGACGCACCAUGGAGUUUGUGACGGCCAUCAAGGUGGAGCCAAGAUGUAUCACAACAUAAGGCUUGCUGGGUACUACUGGCCCGGCGUGAUGGCAGACUGUCUUCGGGUAGCCAAGUCAUGUCAUGGAUGCCAAAUCCAUGGUGAUUUCAAGCACCUACCGCCCGUACCUCUACACCCGACUGUUCCCUCUUGGCCCUUCGAUGCCUGAGGAAUCGACGUCAUUGGCCCUAUCGACCCUUCAUCUUCACAAGGACAUCGCUUAAUCCUUGCGGCAACGGACUACUUCUCCAAGUGGGUGGAGGCGGUUCCACUACGGGAGGUGAAGAGCGACAACGUCAUCAACUUUCUUGAGCAACACAUCAUAUAUCGCUUCGGAAUACCCCACCGCAUCACCUCUGACAAUGCCAAGGCCUUCAAGUCCAACAAGAUGCACAAGUUCAUGGCGAAGUACAAGAUCAAGUGGAAUUACUCCACCGGCUACUAUCCACAAGCCAACGGCGCGAUCAAAGCCUUCAACAAGACGCUGGGCAAGAUACUCAAGAAGACGGUGACAAGACAUAGAAGGGAGUGGCAUGACGGUCUCUUCGAGUCUCUAUGGGCGUACCGUGUUACGGUAUGACCACCCCAUACUCUCUCGUCUACGGGACUGAAGCAGUUUUACCCCUGGAGGUCCGGGUACCCUCUUUAAGGGUGGCCAUUCAAGAAGAACUCACCCAAGACGCACAUGUACAAUUGCGAUUCCAGGAGCUUGACGCCCUUGAAGAGGAGCGAUUGCAUGCUCUACAAGACUUGGAACUUUAUCGCCAGAAUAUGGUGAAGGCUUAUGAUAAGCUCGUCAAGCCACGAGUCUUCAGGAAGGGCGAGCUAGUUCUCGUACUCCGACGGCCCAUCGUCGUCACACACAAGACGAAGGGAAAAUUCGAGCCGAAGUGGGAAGGUCCAUACGUCAUUGAGCAAGUCUAUGACGGAGGCGCGUAUCAGCUGGUUGAUCCUCAAAGAGCCCGGCCUAUGCCACCGAUCAACGGAAGGUUCUUAAAGAAGUAUUUUGCUUGAAACCUUUAUUUUCGGGUUUUUUUUCUUCUUUCUCUCUCGCUUGUGAAUUGUUUUUUUUUGGUUGCCUAUAAAAUCCACGAUGCAUUCUCUAUUGCAUGAGUUGGAUUUUCCCGGUUUUCCUUUUGCAAAAAAAUAAAACAACGGACUGCAAAGUCCAACAAAAAAAAACGGCUUUCCCUGUCUCGCUCCAAGCUGUUGAUUGAAGAUAUUGCUACCUAAGGACUUGUCGGAGGGUGACACAAUGUGCCAGCAUGUUGCAAGUGGAGCGGCUCCUACACCCAAAAUGCACGACACGUAACAAGUGUAUGCUUCCAGAGGCAGCGGGGAUGAAUACUUGGGCACUUCUGCGCAGCAAGACUCCACGCCCCUCAUGUUCCCGGCGUGCUUUGAGGUCUCAGAGGCAUCACGCCCCAGGUAAAACCUUAGGAAGAAGAUCUGGUGCAUAGUCACUCGGCAACCUUGGGGCGUGCCACCAAAAGCUCCAGAUAGAGUGCCUGAGGGUAUCUAGUCCACAGAGGUGGGUGGCUGUCUUCCAAGUUCUGAAGGUGGGUCCCCGAGCAAGAGCAGAAGAAGAAGUUCCAAGAAAUGCAAGUAAUCCUCCAAAGAAUAAAGCAAAAAAAAAUCCCAAGAAAUUCAAGAAAAUCCUCGCAAGAGCAAAAAUCCUUGGCCCGUGAAGUCGGCCUGUUCAAGCAAUCCUCAAGAAAAAGAUAUCUCUCUAAAAGAGACAAGUCCAACAAUCCCGAGCAGUAUGGGAACCGCUGGAAAGAAGGCGGGAGGUAGCCACUUACCACCCCUCGAUCAAGGCAUGGAUUUUGUAUCAGCCGUUGUCCCAGAGCCAUGUACCCUCAUCUCACCUCGCCCAUGUCGACGGGGUCUUGAGGCACUGCGCAGGGGGCAUGAUUGAGUUGUGGGGUUUCUUGGUGUUAUGAUGGGCUAGAGUCUGAUUCUCUGCUGUCCCUUGGAAGCAUCUUUGAAGCACGGCAUCUCCAUACACGUACACUGAAGGAAAUACAGUUGUUGAGUUGCAAUCGUUAUGGUUCUUCAACGGUUCCCGAUGACUAAGUCCUUUGGUAGCUUUUCUGAUAUCACGCCUAUAGCUGGUGUGCAAAGGGAAAGCCAACAUUUUAAAAACUCAAAACCAAAAUUUUGUUUUUUGUUUUUCCCAAGUUUUGUUGCCUUUCGUUGCUUGGUCUUUCUAGCUCCAUGCAGCUACAGAGGACGAUUAUCCUGGUGUGGCCCAAUCUACACCAACAACAUGCAUCAUGCAAGCUGGCAAAGCUGCACCUGUGUGUCCAUGACGCGGCCGUGCAGCCGUCUCGUCGACCGGUUCACUUCACCAACAUACACCGGAUCUGGACGCCGGGAGCUCCGGAGCAGCACGCUCGUACGUCCAUGACGACCCGAUGGCAUGUCGGCGUCUCCUCUCCAACAACAAAAACGCUGGGGGCAGCACCGUUCCCUCGGUCAUACACAUCAUGCUGAUGGCUACCGGGCACGCUAUCUCCUACAACAAUGAAGAUGGCGGCAAGAACACCGCAUCAUCCUCAGUGAAGUGACGUGCUGAUGUCUUCCCGGCGCCUUCUACAACAACACUUCAAAUUUUGGGAGCAGUGCGGCGCGCCAGUGCGCCAAGCUGUGAAACCCUUUGAUCAAGUCGGCUGGCACCGCACUAUCUAAGGCGGUCGCGACUCGAUCGAUAAAAUUUUCUCCAAGACAUCGCAUGGCGUUUCGCGGUGGAUUGAAGGAGUAGGAUUGUCUUGUUGGCUGGCAUCGUUUUUACCCUGCGAUCGCAACAAGCUUUCCUGAACAAUGCAGAGGGAUAUGCCUGCACUAGUUAGCGUGCGACAAGUCAGCAUAGCCAUGCGACUUUCACGUCCAGGAUACGCUCGUUCGUCUCUGGAGCGAGUUUGGCGCGAUGGCAAGUCGUCUUCAAGCUGGAUGAUUCACUACCUUCGAUGGUCAAGCAUCGGCGUGCAUCCUCGGGCGUCGAGGACGUCAAGAGGUGGACACGCACGGAGGCCCGCUACUGAUGAAAACGGCAUCACGAUCACGGCCAUGCAUGCGCAGGCGUCGUCCAGGCCGUGUCUCCUCAGCGAACGCUUCUUCGUAACAUGCCACGAAGAUCUUGGUCACGUACGUCUACAUGCAGCCUUCUUUUCAAGGCUCAAAUUAUCGAUCAGAAGAAGGGCUGGCUUGGAUGGGCAUGUACGUGCGCUGCCAUGCACAAGCAUGUCUCGCUCGUUGUUUGCCGCAGAGGACAGCGCCACCUCAAGAUGAUGCAGUCGCCUGUCGCCUGGGCGACGCUAGUCGGUUUCUGCCAAACCUCCAGGGGCGCGUGUAAGCUGCGUAUGGUGUCUGCCGCGGUCGUCUCCAAGCUGUACCUGUUGCUGUUGCGCAUGCUCCAUUUUUUUUUUCUUUUGGAGUGGGAAUAAGCGAUGGCAACCUUACAUCGUGGAACAUGUACAUACGUGUUUCUGGAGAACAGAUCAAGCAUAUUAAAAAAAACAGAAAAAAAGAGAGGACAUAUUAAAAAAAAAAAAGAGGACAGAUGGACGUGUAUACAAGCACUGCCAUACAAUCAACCACAUGCAUGCAGGUGUUGAAGAAGCCAUUAUCAUUUAAUAAAUGGUGGGGUUCGAAGUACAAACGGAAGCAAGAUUAUACUGAAACUAAACUGAACUAAAUCACGUCAGACUUAAAAGAAGACGAAUCUAAUUCAAGCUAGAGCGGUGCUCCUCGCUAAGGGAGCCUAAUGAUGGAUGACGGCAUGAAGUAACCAGCGAUCUCACUAAGGAAGCUUGUAAGACAGGAUCAUGGCGACCUCUGGAAGGGGUUCACCCGUGGCACGAGAGUCGGAGUUUCCAUCUUCGUCGCAGCGGGUGAGAUAGGCGGCCGUCUCAUCACGGCGCCGGGCUAACGCCUCAACUUCCACUGAAGAGUUGCUAACAGCAUGGUCGUGGCCUUGAAGCUGAAGGGUGUAAAUUUCUCCCAUGCGAGCAAUAGUAGCUUCACGCUUCCGCGCUUCUGCCGCCAUCUUCUCGUGUGCCUCCGCGAUCUCUUGAUGUUUCUGUCGGAGGCUUGCUAUGUCAGCAACACGCGCCUCAAGGCGCUGAUGGUCGGCCGUAAGGCGACUGAGGAUGGCCGCGACCUCAUUUUGGGCGGUCUCAAGCUUUUCCAGCAUGGACCGUGCCUGCUCCCUUGUAGGAGUUGUCUCAUGCGGAGUGCUCGAACUGCUUGCACCCUGUACUGUAGACGAGACAUCAAGGCUCUUAGGUGGGUGAUGAGGGUGCCAAGAUCACUGGGGAUAUUCCCUUUGUAGGCAUCAUUCCAAGAAUUAAAAACACACUCUAUCAGCUCAAUAGUGUGCUGCUUGUCUAGAGGCUCCGCCUUUAGGGCCUCCUGAAUGUCUCCGAGAUCCGAUGGAAGGAAUUUCUGGGCUCGGCGCUCGAGGGCGUUCUUAGGGCCUCCUGAAUGUCUCCGAGAUCCGAUGGAAGGAAUUUCUGGGCUCGGCGCUCGAGGGCGUUCUUGCCUUCAGGAAGGAUGAGGCUCGGUGGUGUCCCGCUGAAAGAAGGGGAAGCUUUGCUGGAGAACGGACUAGCGCCAGACCACAACCACUGGAACCUCUCAAAGAAAACCUUCAGGUCUUUAACUUCGGGCGUUUGAUGGGUUGCUACUGCAUCAAUUGCUGUGACUGAAGUUGUAUCUAAAAAAAAAAGAAAGAAAAAAGAGAAAGUUAAUAAGGUACUCGUGCAUGCCAAUGUAAAAGAAGCGUGCAUGUAUGCAUAUGAAAGGAGGGACGAAGUGCAUGUACUCACCAUCAGAGUCUGGUUUCGGCUUCUUGUUGAUCGUGAGUGCGACGUCGGCAUCAGGCAUUGCGGCGGGACGUUUCUUGUCGGCAGAAGAUUCUAGAGUUGCGCAUGUAUCAGCUGGAGUUCUUGUGGCGACCAGCGUUGGAGCUGCAGGUGGGACCACAGCGCCACCUCCUGUGGCCUUUUCCUCUGCUAUCAUAUCCGACAGAAGCCUCUCCACGCCAUUGCUUAUUUGGACGUGAGGCAACACGGUCUCAAGAGGGUCCUGUACAAGAAAAAAAAAUUGAUUAGGUACGCGACUUGUGAGGAUUAAUAUAUGCAUAUACAUGAAAGGGCUUUGAACUUGCCUCCGGGUUGUCCAAAGGAGCGUCCGAGUCGACGGGAUGACGAUUUCGUCAGACUGAUUCGCGCCACGGUGAGGGCGCGUGCUGCGUGCUGCUUUGGGCGUUGAUUCGGGGAUCGUCAGUGGCGACGGCGGUGGCGACAACCUUCGCCAGGCCGACAAAUUUGCAUGCUUGCCUUCGUUCCUGCUUGGAGGCGGAGGAGGUGAAUCUCUGGCCUUGCCCUUGCCCUUGUCCGGAGAGGAUCCACGUGCGUCAAUAUGGCGUCCUCUGUUGGUGUCACGACCGAAGUAAUCUGACUUCCGUGAUGGAGAAGACUUGUUGUACUUUCCCAUCUCCGCUACCUGUGGACACACACACAAAAAAAGAGCAGGCCGAGGCCUCCUCCAAGUGAAGUAUUCGGAUGGUCUUGUGCGAUACCGGCAGUCGGCCGAGCCGCCGCGCUGGUGCUUCGGAUCUUCUCAAACGGGAGUAUGGAACACCAAUCUUGCAAAAGAUAAAUAAGGCUAGUUGCAUGCUACUACGUACCUGGGUUGGUUAAUGGAGGAUGGCUAUCUGCUAGGAGUCGCCGUGAAGUGAAGCAGGUACGUGCUAGCUGCCACGGGGGGAUUAUAUAGUCCAGCUAGCAGGUACAACGGCCGAGAGAAUCCAGCAGUUAAAAGUGGUUGCGGAUGUCAAGAGAUCGAGAUGGUUGCAAGUAUUCAAACUGCCGCCGGAAUAAAAUCUUUCUCACCAAGAUAAGUCCAAUCGUUUCACGCUUAAUCUUACUUGGUGAGGGGGCAUUUUGUUCGAUGGAUUUUUGUUCAUUGAAAAUUGGUGAGUUUGAAGUAUAAGCCAUAUGAACGUACGUACGUAUAUGGUACUGGUUGAGAAGUAGCAUGCAUGCAUGCUCUCAUUUUUGAUGCGUACUUGCAUGGAGGUAUCAGCUAGCUAAGGAUCAAUUGAUUAGUGUGUUCUUGCACGUAUUGAUUGAUCUGUAUCGUAGUAUUAAUCACCUCAAGCAAACUCAAGAAAAAAAGCCAGAGCUGCAUGUGCAUGCUGUACGUACAAACACGUACGCGUAGCCAGCUAUGGAGAAGUUUAUGUACGAUCGUAUACGGCUGGAGGACUUGUACAUACCUGCCGUAUUUGUACACGUACAUGCAGUGAUAUGUGUCGUGUUGUUGCUCAUCUAUCUCAACGGCCGGCCAGCUAGCGCCAAUCCAACAAAGAAGAGAUAUCCAUGCACCAGCCGACAGAAGAGAUAAGCCCAUCCUGAGGAUUAUUCAGGUCGCCGGUAGAAGAGAUAUCAAUGGUGAGGAUCCUGGCUGACCCCCUCUCUCUCGUCCUCUCUCCCUCUCUCUCUCUCUCGUCCUCUCUCUCUCUCCCCAACAUCUCUUCCCUGCACGACUGGAGUUGCGGCGGAGGCGACGGUCGCAUGGCCGGAGUUACCGGCAAGCAGCCCAAAGGUUUCCCCAUUGCUGUGCACUGAAGAUUGGCGUCACUGCCCUUCGUCGAGCUCGUCAGCGGGUGGCCCGCGGCAUUUCGGCGUCAUGGAGGAUGGAGCUCGCCAUCAGCUGCAGCCUGUCACCGUCAACAACAACACGACGUCGGCAUCACGGAGGAUGGAGCUCGCCAACAGCUGCUGCCCGUCGCCAUCAACAACAACAGGACGUCGACACCAUGGUGGAUGGAGCUAGACGCUCGGUGGAGACAUCACCAUGUCACCUGUGGCAUCGGGGCCAGGCUUCGCCAACAUGCAAACCGCCAACGCUACCGCACGUGGACAUGGGAGCUAGCUAAGCCCACACCCAUACGUCAUCAAGCUGGGCGGAGGAAGGGUUCAUCGGCAGGCACGUCAUCAAGGGCCGUGGCAGAUGGAGCUCGUCAUCAUGCUCAGCGGACUUGCCGGGCGUGCAGUCCCUAAGGCGUCGCGUGAAGACGACGAGGUGCUACACCCAUUACUUUGCGGUUCGACCAAGACGAGAAGGCGCAUCGACACCUAUGAUGACCGCCGUGUCAACUCGGCGUCCAACUGAAGGUGCCAUCGCCGGCUGCGCGAACCACGCCGACAAGUGCGCGUGCUGGUUUUAAAUCGGUGCCAGUCUCCACCAAUCACAUACUCUCAUGGGACACCCGUCACCUACCCGAUGAAGCUGCUGAUCGUCAAGAAGUCCAAGCGAAGAGGGCCCCUGCUAAUUGUAACAUCCCAAUUUUUCAAAACUCUUCAUAUGCACUGCAUAUCAUGAGCAUCAUGUCACCCUUGCAUUUGAUCACUUUCAAAACCCUAAAAUUUGCCUAGAAAACUUUUCUGCAAAAAUGCUUUUAUUUGAUUUUGGGCUUUGAUCUUGCUCUUGAGUAUUUGCAUUUUAACCCACGAGGGUAUUGUGAUAAAAAGAGAUUUAGUGCAUAUAUAAAGCUAUCCCAUAAGUUGGCUUUUGAAAUUAUUUUGAAACAUAAUUUGCUUCGAUAGCCUAAGGGCCCUAAAAACCAUUUUAUAGGCAAAUGUAUUUUUAAAUAUUUUAUUUUGAGAAAAUUCUUGUUCCAAAAGUUAGAUCAUACGAAAAUAUGAUUUUACAAAUUUUGUUGCAUUUUAUUUGGAGUGAUUUGGAGCUUCGAGUCAAUUUUGAGGUUCAAAAACAAAAAAUAGAUAAAAGAAAAGGAAAAACCAAAGAAAACCGGUCAAACCGGACCGAACCGGAACGAACCGGACCGGCCUAGCCCGAACAGCCCAGCUUCUCUCACUGACUGGUGGGCCCCACGUCUUCUUCAACCUCCGUCCGAUUUUCCCGGCCACGCACAGUCCGAGUCGCCCACGACUCCCCCUCCGAUUUCUCCGCGCACGGGCCGUUUCCUCCAAAUCCCUGCGCGUCACCCCAAAGCCCUCGCUUUUCUCCUUCACUUCCCCCAAACCGCUCGCCCGAUUUCGCACCGGUUAGAAAGUAAUUGCUCGCCGGAGUUCAUUGCUGCCUCUUCGCGUUUUGCCGUCGUUCCGGUGAACUUCCGCCCGCGCCGACCCCAUCUCCUUCCUCCUCUCAUCCUUGCGCAUGCAGUGACGCGAGCCGGCCGGGAUUUGGAGCUCCGCGCCGCCGUCCGCCGUCUUGCCCGGCGCAGGCCGCCGCCCGCCGGCCGCGCGCUCCGCGUCCGCGCCCGCGCUCGAGAGCCCGCUUGCCGCCGCCUCCGGCCUGCCGUGCCGCCCCGACCGCGCGACCACCCGCGCGCCGCCUCCGCGCCGCUGCCCCACCCGCCGCUCGCCCGCGCCCUUGCACCGCCGCGCCGCCUGCCGCGCCGCCGCCGGCCGGAAACCUAGAAACCAGCCAGUCCCGCCAUGCCACGAGGCGAGGAUUUUGUUUUAUUUUUUUCGGCCGAAUUAGAUAAGGCAUUUUUGCAGAAAUGCUCCUACAACUUCAAAGCCUCAUAUCUUUCAAACCGUUUGUCCAAAAAUUGUGAUCCGCACCUUUCUGGAAUCGUCUCAGCGUGUACAAUAUUUUGGCACUGUUUAAUUUCAGUUUUGAACAGCUUAGACAGAAGCUAUUUAUAGAAUGGUUGAAUAUGGUUUAAAUUUCAAAUGAAUUGAUUCAAAAUAGUUUUGAGCAUGUUAUCUUGCUGUAAAAUUAUUUAAACUUGUCCUCUAUCAAUUAGGACCAGAAAAGAAAUUAUUUUGUGAAUAAUCAUGGCAUACAAGUUUAAAUAUUGCUCUAUGUUGUAAAAGCCACACAAUCUUUUGAUUUAAACCCUAUCCAUGUAUCAUGCAUAUUAAUUACCACUUUGAUGUUGUAUAAUCUGUCCAAAUCAUUUGAAAAAAAUUUCAAAAACAGAAACGAAACGUUGUACUUUAGAAGUAACCUUUGCGUGCAUCAUCAUGGCAUAUGCAUCAUGGCAUGGCUUUUGUAUUGAAUGUUGUGUUUAUUGUGUGUGUUCCUUUUAUUUUAGAUUGUGUGGAGUGUAAUCCUUGUUGUUGCGAAGAGUGCGAGAACUACCACAAUCUUGGACAAGGCAAGUUCACUUUGAUCAUUCUCCUAAAUAUUUUUACUAUGCACUAGAUGUUUUAUUAGAUGCAUCAGGAAUAUUACUCGUACUUUUAUGCUAGCUAUAAAUCCCAGGUAGUCUAGUUUACCCUCGCCGUUACCUUGCUACCAAAAUUGCCAUCGAUUAUAGUUGAAUGCUAGGCUAUGAUAGUAUCGUGGGGGAAAUAACUACGUUAUGAUAUUGUUAUGCCUUUGGCGAUAUGAAAUGUUUUGUUAGAUGUAAGGCAAAACAAUUAAUUCAAUGAACCGUCCUGGGUGGGCUGCUUUGAAGAUUUUGAGGAUUAGCGGUGUCAGGUCCAUUUCUAUGGGUCCCUCUGAGUCGAGUUCCUGUGGAUUCAGGAAUGGAUCGUCCAUGGACGUCUCUCCCGUGGGUUCGGGGAGCGCCUACGUUGCAAAUGUGGAAUGCCACCUGGGGUAACCAAGACUGGACUAGUUUCCUAUUUAGAAGUUUCCAGUACAACCACAAUGCUAUAUGGGCUCUGGCGAGACAAGAGUAAGUUGUAUGAACCUAGACCCGAGGAAUUGUACUGAGGUAACCGUGCAGGGGGAGCGUGAUUCUCUCGUGGUUUAGGGAAUUACCUCUGAAAAUCUCGUAAUCGAUGCCGUUGCUACUCUACCCUGAGGACAGCAAGGGAUUAACAUGUCGGUUUCUUGUGGGGAAUGUGUACAAACUCUCGAAAGCGUCAAAACUAAGUACUUAGCCGUGUCCCUGGCAACGGACAAUUUGAGCAACUAGAUGUGGAGCUGUAAGGAAACUCUCACUCAUUCCAACUUCUUAAAUAAAAUGAAUGGUUGAACAGGGUAGGAGCACUUGAUGAAUCCAUUUCAAUGUGCUCUAGGAUAAUAGGAGCAUGGGUGUGUCUACCCCGUGUCCAAUAGCGAUAAAAUUCUAUUUGAUUAAAAGAUAGGAUUCAAUAACUAAGCUUUUAUGCAAAUAGCUUUGAACCCUACUUUGCCACAUUAUGCAUAUACUUGAUAGGCUCUGGUAUAACUCCUAGUGAAUCUUGCCAAUACAUUCAAUGUAUUGACCCUAGUGGCUGCAUCGUUUAAUGAUGCAGGAAACUCCGACGACGAGUAAGAUGUCCGUUCUGCUUGUUUGGGUUACGGCCCUACAUUCCAACACGCUCUCACCGUGGUGUUGAUGUGCCCUUGUAUCUUUCGUUUUCUACUGCUAAACAGUUGUUUUAUUUCUAGCUAACCCGUGAGGUUAUGCGAGUUGUAAGUACCUAUUAAAUUCUGGAUGACUCGUUGUAAUAUUGAGACAUUUGUUCUAUGAUAUUACAUCUUGAAACUGUGUGCUAGUGAGUCGAUCCAGGGACUAGCACUAAAGCACAGAGAUCGAACCCUUGUACGGGAGCGGUCGUUUCACUACUACAAUUUACAACUCACCUACGCCGUUCAAGACCGACGAUGAAUGACUGCGGGCGGGCAUGGCCGGAGCAAAAGCCACGCUACCUGCGGCGCGUGUACCGACGAAGACACGGACUCUGCCGCCGCCACACACACAUCACCUCUUCUUCAUGCACGGGAACUUGAAGCGAAGACCGAAGAUGACAACCACGUGGCUUAAUCGGAGGUAUCUCGCAGCGCAACCCGUGGGAGUAAUUAACCAGGAGCCUUCCGAGGCCCCGGGGACCACGAGACCGGGGACCAGGAGACCGCAAUCGCCAUAGUCAGGCUGGCCGCGCUAGUAGGCCACGGAGCGCAACACGUUCGGGAAUUGUAUUUGUUUAUCCUUGAGAUUAAUAAAAUACUUUUCCUACACUUUUAUUUGUGUAUCUCGAUACACUGGCACGCCCGCAUACAUAUACACAUGCUAUGUCUCUCCCUUUUGUUACCCUGGUGCGUAGAGAUACACUCCACCCCUCCUCCGGAGUGUUUUCUUGUGUCGAACAUUGAUAUACGCCGUUUUGGCGAAUUCGAAAAAUGCCGUUCCAAUUCGGACCCAUCAUAGUGACAUUUUUUGAAGAAUCUAUAGAUUUGCAAUGGCAUUUUUGAAAGAUUAGAAUUGUAGUGGUAUUUUUCAAAUUCACCAAAAAUGCAAUGACAUAUAUCAAAUUAACCAUAAAACAAAUGAUUUAAUACCCGCGCCCCUCAAACUCCAAUUCUCUCUUUCUCUUUCUCUCUCUCUCAAAUUAACCAAACAAGUUGUGAGGUUACAAGGCCAGCAUGGAUCAAUUGACAUGUUUGGUCUUAUGCAAUUUCUUCACCCAAGGCACGGCGCAAUCACAAGAUGCAAAAGGCGAUGCUGGAGGUGAAGACUUCUAAGUACCUUAAUUAACUUCAUCUUCUAAAAACUAUUUUGUUUGCUUAAAAUUAUUUUUUUCUUAUGAAAUAAUUUCCUCUCCAUCUUGUUUUGUUGGACCCAGUUGGUUAGGGCCUAGAAGUACUAUGGUGGAAGCUACAGCGAUCCUGGGUGUGAUCUCCGAAUUGAUUGAAAAACAUGAUCGUCACGAACAUUGGUGAUAUCCAAAAAAUGUUGUAAGAUUAUAUUUUUGCAAAGUUACUCGAAAGCUUUACAUCCAUGCAACUAUAAACUAAUUAACCACAAUUACGGUGGAAAGGCAAGGAAAAUACCAGCAAUAUAAAAUGACUUCAGAAGAAGCAAGCAAACAUUCCUAUCACUUGCUUUAUACGUCUCUUUCUCGUGCUUGCAUUUUAAGAGUAAUAAAAGAGGAUAAUUGUUUUUGUGGGAUCACGCAAAACUGUUCUCACAUACAAUGCUCACAUCGUAUUAUAUACUAUGCAUUAAUCUGAAGUGAUCGUACAGAUCUUUAUAGUUGGUCCAGUUGACCUGCAUCUAUCGACAAAUAUUUUCAAUGGUUGUUGCCGAGCGUUGUAGCUAUCCAGCUAUAUUUUCUACUUAUUUUACCAGUUUGAAUUUCCUGGAAAUUAAAGCUAUCCAAAUUUUGUUUUGGGAUGUGUAUGUAACGACUUUUAGCCUGUGAGUCAUGUAAGCUAUCUUGCAUGGUUGAAUCCCUUAAAGGUAACAUAUUUAUGAUUCCAUAUAUAUACAUAGUUUGAGGAAUGGGUAAAUAAGCAAGAUAACAUUAAGAAAACCAAAUCUGCAACUCGAUCAGGUCCUGUACUUACAUACAAGAAAUUUUUCUUAACUAAGACUAAAGGUGUUUAACGAGAUACUGUUAAAGAACUAAGUACAGGUUCCAUAUUCAUUUUUAUGGGCAAACACAAGUUUCAGUAAAUAAAUUGCACGAUAAGUAAGAUUGAAUGAAAUUUGAAUUUUUAAUGAAUUUAUUCAUAACAAUGAAAUAUGAUACUAUACCAAAAUUCUACGUGAAGUACAUAUCACUAGAUUAGAAAAGACACCCAAACUAACAUGAGAAUGCAUCAUGUCAAAACCUUUUAUCCAGUGAAAACUUUUAAUUAGUUCUACCCAUGCAUUAUAUUUUUUUAAAAGGGAUCAGAUUGAGGUGUAACCUCUAAUCAGUUAAUUAAAUACUCUUUACGGGACACAUAACUUGAACAACCCAGUCCAACAAUACGAGGUGUCCUGGCACACGAGGUGCGGGACGGGGGCAGCGCGUGCAGCGGCCGGCGAAUUAGCGCCUUGUUAGUUUCAACUAAUUGGGCAACAAAAUUGAAAACGCAUGUGAAUCGAGUGCACGCCUGGGGCCAGUUUGAUACAAAAGUGCAGCGUUCAGCCUGUCUUGGUAGGUGUGCGGAAACUAAGACCCCUGUUAAAGCAGGAUAGAGGAGUACAUUUAACCUCUAAACACAUACUUCUCCGUUCCGAAUUAAUUUAUUUGAAUUUGUAUAAGUUUUUUUUCAUAAAAUGUGUUUAACUGGUUACAAUUUUCACCUUUCAUCUGAUUCGUCUAUUUGAGAUCUAACAUGACUAAGAUUGAAAGUUAUUCUGGAACAUGAGUUUUCACACUAUACGUCGUUAACCAACAUUGCACGGAUGUUUAAUAUUAUCCUGCGGAUGUUUGUUUUCAGCGCAUAUGGGUUAAGAAAAUCCAUAGGCCUGACUCUGAUACUCGUCAUUAUCGUUCUCGAUGCUAAGCAAUUGGAGAUCUGAGAUAUGCAUCAUUUUGACAACUUGACAUAUCACAUCAUUGUUUAUUUGUUUGUCUCAGCACGUUUCUUACUAAUAUUCUUCCCCAAACAAGUGGGGAAUGUUAAAAUAAAUAAUUCUAGCUAGGAUCUGUGUCAUGAAGUACAGUAGAUCUCGUGGAGCAGCGCCAGCGGUUCCAUCCACCGCACAACACUGUUGGAUCAAAAAAGCAGGUGACUUGGGGUCUGUGCUAAGCUUUAGGCUUUGCAGGAUGUUCAGCAAGGGCAGACUAUGAUUGUGUCACGGGGUACGGUACAAGAUUUUAAGAAUUCUUGGGCUGAACAGUGUGCCUAUCCACCACUCAUGUCAGGAAGCACCAUGUAGUCCUUAUCCUAUUUCAGACACGGCCGGAGACAUGCAGUCUGGCACACGUACAGUACGGCAGCAAAGCGAGGGCGACGUAGUUUCACUGGUGGCCAGUGACCUUAAUUUCCAAGAUUACCGUGAUUUUUUUAAAACAACCAUCUUGUUUUUGUCGAUUCAUAAAAGAAAAUACAAUAGAUCGAAACAAACUAAACGAACGUAAGGAACGAAAAUCCACUAUAAAACUAAAAGCCCCAUCAUGGUCUUUCGAAAUCAACAUUUCUAAAUCCAUCUUCCGCAUUUUGACAUUUCUCCAUGUAAUUGACAAGGAAAAAAACCCAAAAAGACCAAAAAAAGAAUUUUGAGAACCACUGACUCAAUGGAGCAGGAAGUUACCGUGAUUUUCUGAGAUCAACUCUUUCAAAAGUUAUGGUUUCUGAGAUUAUUAUAAACAACUGUGGUUUUGUGAGACAACUAUCACAAAAAAUAUGGUUUUGUGAAAUUAACUCUAAUAAUAUUCUAGUACACUUAUCUUGAUUUUUCAUGGCCUAUAUAUCUCGAGGAAUCAUCUGAGGGUGCUGACUGGCGGAACCAGUGCUCCAACGUUCUGUAAAAUUCCGUAUAAUUCUUUGAGUAAUUUCCAGAUUCAUGAUGCUUGAUUACCAAGAUAUAAGGAGUAGCCAGAGUGUGAAGUAGCACAUCAUACGCCAGAAAACAAAGAGGAGAUUAUAUCAUUGUAAACACAUCGUUCUCUGCCUUUUCGUCAAAAGGAUCUGAAAAGCCGGUGGCCCUUCUGUAUACGCAUAUUUAUUUCUCUUGUUUUACACGAGGCACAGCACAAGCCGGGCCAGCUUUAAUUCGUAACCGCAUGUCUCUCUCAUACAGCAGCUAGGAUGGUCUCUGCUUUCUCCUCAAUAAGUUCGAGCCACCUCCUUUGCUUUGGAUCACCUUCUUCGUUCUCGAAUUCUUCGUUCUCCAUUAAUUUCUCCCUCCCAGCGGCAGGUCUACUCGACCAGCUGCUAGCUGCGCCAUGGAUCCCACUCUGUUCAUCAUCGGCAUCAUAGGUACUGCUACGUGUGCGCAUGGCUGAGUCUGUCUCUGCCAUUUCCUCUCUAGCUAGCGCUAUUUUCUUUGUUUGACAUAGCUUCGCCCCCUGUUGUUGCAGGAAACAUCAUCUCCGUUCUGGUCUUCAUUUCUCCCGUGUAAGAGCAUACCAUAAGCAUUUGUUUUCUUUGUUUCAUAUCGUGCUUUAAUUGAAUGAAAUGCAUGGCUGCAGCACGACGUUCUGGAGGAUCGUGAGGGGCGGGUCGACGGAGGAGUUCGAGCCGGCGCCAUACGUGAUGACGCUGCUCAACGCGCUGCUGUGGCUCUACUACGGCCUCACCAAGCCCGACGGCCUCCUCAUCGCCACCGUCAAUGGGUUCGGGGCCCUCAUGGAGGCCAUCUACGUCGUCCUCUUCCUCAUCUAUGCCAACGACCAUGGCACGAGGGUGAGCCCCCCCACCCAGCACAGCACCGACAGAUAUGCAUGCGUCCUUUUGGGAACAUGUACACUCAAGUUUAUGAUCAACAACACAUUAUUUCCUUUGCUUUUUCAACUGAAGGAAGUUUAUGACCAAUUACAUUUCCUUAAUUUGCUUUUUCAAGGUUAAAACCGCGAAAUUGGUGGCAGCUUUGGACAUCGCCUUUUUUGGGGUCGUGUUCGCGACUACAACGUUUGCCAUUGCUGAGCUUGACAUGAAAAUCAUGGUUGUCGGAUUGAUAUGCGCCUGCCUCAGUGUCUUCAUGUACGGGUCCCCACUCGCUGCCAUGGUAAGGUCCCACGCACCUGCAAAAUGAAAUCAAUUAUUUUAUGGAAUUGGAUCUUACUCCUUCCAUACCAUAUUAAGUGACGAAAUAUUACAUGUAUCUAUUUAGACGCUUUUUGUGCAUAUAUACAUUCAUCGUUAGAGGUGGGCCGGAAACCAUCACCGGGUCAUGUGUGUAAUCAUGCUGACACAUUCCAAUCUUGUACGGUAUGCGUGCCUCGCAAAAUCAUGCUGGAAAAGCAUGCAUGUUUGCAACUAUGGAGAUUUUGGAGUAUUUUAUAGGAACCAAAAGCCGGUAUGAUCGAGCUGGUACAGCUGACAAUAUAAAAAGUCGUACUGUGUCGAACAUAUAUUACUGUGUAAAUCAUGCAUAAAGAUAGUAAGUGUACAAAUCUUUUGCGCACCAAAUGCAUUUGCUAAUUUAUUUGCCUGGCUAUGUAACGGUAUUCGUAGUGUAGAAAAAUGAAAAAAGAACUUUUCUUAAAAGUCAAACAGCGUUGCGUGCUCAAAGAUUGUGAUUGCACAAGCCGUGCACACGAGAGAUAUAUAUGCGUGUAGGUGUAGGUCAACAUACAGCAGCGAUUAACAAAUAUAGAGCUAGCAAACGUGCACGGAUAGAAAAUGUAAGCGAACGUAUACAUGUGUGAAUCGAUCGUGUAAACAUGCACGGCAUGAAUGUGGGUGUGUGCGCAUCAUUUUGAUGCAGAUGCCGAGGGUUUAAAAUCUCCUUUUCGAAAGAAAAAACAUGCACGCCAUAUUGAGUUGUUUGACGGAGGCAAAACUUUUUUAUUCUGAGAGAUAAGAGCGAAUUGCGUGAUAGAUAGUUGACUAAUACUCCAUCUCUAAAUAUAAGAUGCUCUAACUUUGUUCUAAGUUAAAUCUAUUAAACUUUGAUCAAGUUUAUAAAGAAAUCUACCGACAUCUAACACUCUAAAUUAAUUUUAUUAUAUCCGCUUGAAUCUUCAUAAUAUACUUACCUGAUAUAUAUAUUGUGGAUAUUAGUACAACUUUCUAUAAAUUUGAUCAAACUUUCAGAUGUCUGACUUAACAUAUUAUAUUUAGAAACGAAUGUAGUAUUUUUUUUUAACCAUGGCACAUGCAGUUACCCACACAUCAUCAUACGUACUCACAAAGCAGAAGCUAAAGUCCAAAAUCGCGAAACAUAGGCACCAAACUUGAAAAAUUGAACGAGAUGAGUUGUGGGGCAUCUCUGUUAAUCAUUCAAGUUAUGCUUUGUUCUAGCUGAU
rnacentral:lncRNA from 1 species